CCGCUUAGAAGCAAACGGGUGUAGUCAAGCUGCAAGCCUCUAGAAAUAGGUGGGUCAGANUGGCGUGAGUCUGAGCACGAAGGGCUGGCAGGUGGAUCCGACUUUUGUUGGGUUCGGCUCGCAAGGGUCGAAUUUGUGAAGCGUCAAGGCGCUGCAAGUCUGCUUGUCAGUUGCUCUACUGGCCCUCUUAAUUUCUUUUGGCGUAUGUCACGACCGUCUUUGCUGUCGGUCUGCUUCGUUCAAACCGUUCCGUGAGUAGUUUCUUGCUGCUUGCGUUUCGGGGGCAGGUAGCUGAUCCAGUUUCGGCUGGGUUAGUGUAAUUGCUGAGCGGAGUGGUAUCUGUAACUGUGCAGUAAGAUGGGACUGGCGGUGCAUUGUUGCUGAGCGCGCUAAAGCGUGUCGGCGUGGUUGGAGUAUGGCUACUUGUUGCUGUUAAUAACGGCCUUGUGGUUGCCCGACUGCGGUUUGGCAUGCGGCUGCGUUUGGUCAAUCUUUGCGUUGUGCCUACAGUCUGUGGCGUAGUGGUAGACA
rnacentral:rRNA from 1 species